UACGAAGGGGGCUAGCGUUGUUCGGAAUUACUGGGCGUAAAGCGCGCGCAGGCGGCUUGGUAAGUUGGGGGUGAAAUCCCUGGGCUCAACCCAGGAAUGGCCUUCAAGACUGCUUGGCUGGAGGACGAGAGAGGUGAGUGGAAUUCCCAGUGUAGAGGUGAAAUUCGUAGAUAUUCGCAAGAACACCAGUGGCGAAGGCGGCUCACUGGCCCGGUACUGACGCUGAGGUGCGAAAGCGUGGGGAGCAAACAGG
rnacentral:rRNA from 1 species